UAAAAGGAGCCCUUGCCAUGUAAGCUGAGCUGCAUGGGGCAGGCAGGGACAGCAAGAUGGUGUCACAGAGGCAGGUCCUCAUAUCCUUGAUGUUGUGGGUCUCAGGUGCCUGCGGGGCGAUCACGAUGACGCAGUCUCCAGGCUCCCUGGCUGUGUCUCUGGGUCAGCGCGUCACCUUGAACUGCAGGGCCAGUCAGAGUGUUAGCAAGUGGGUAGACUGGUACCAACAAAAACCCGGGCAGCAUCCUAAGCUGCUCAUCUACAAUGGAAACAACCGGGCAUCUGGAGUCCCUGACCGAUUCAGCGGCAGUGGGUCUGGGACAGAUUUCACCCUCACCAUCAGCAGCCUCCAGGCUGAAGAUGUGGCGACUUAUUACUGUCAGCAGCAUAGUAGCUCUCCUCCCACAGUGCUGCAGCCUCGUACACAAACCUCCUCCCCAGGGCCGUGGGGCAGGGAGGCUUGGCUGCACCUGCUGCUUCCUCCCUGCUCAGCCCUGAACACGCACGUUCCUGUGUCUCUUCAAGAAGCUGCCUCUCCUGACUACUCCUUACAGGAUAGUUUAAGGCCCAGGUCACAAGAGCAUCUUCUAUUCCAGCCAUCAGAGAUGGGGUCCAGGGCUCUCCUGCUACGGAUCCUGCAGUCCUGGGUCCCAGCAUGUCAUCCAUGACUUUGACUACAAGGGUCAUCAAUGACGUGGGCAUAUACUGCUGGGAGCCGCUCGGCCUUGCUGGAUGACACAGUCACAGUGA